CCUAUAAGACUGGAUAACUUCGGGAAACCGGAGCUAAUGCCGGAUAACAUUUGGAACCGCAUGGUUCUAAAGUGAAAGAUGGUUUUGCUAUCACUUAUAGAUGGACCCGCGCCGUAUUAGCUAGUUGGUAAGGUAACGGCUUACCAAGGCGACGAUACGUAGCCGACCUGAGAGGGUGAUCGGCCACACUGGAACUGAGACACGGUCCAGACCCCUACGGGAGGCAGCGGUAGGGAAUCUUCCGCAAUGGGCGAAAGCCUGACGGAGCAACGCCGCGUGAGUGAUGAAGGGUUUCGGCUCGUAAAACUCUGUUAUUAGGGAAGAACAAAUGUGUAAGUAACUGUGCACAUCUUGACGGUACCUAAUCAGAAAGCCACGGCUAACUACGUGCCAGCAGCCGCGGUAAUACGUAGGUGGCAAGCGUUAUCCGGAAUUAUUGGGCGUAAAGCGCGCGUAGGCGGUUUCUUAAGUCUGAUGUGAAAGCCCACGGCUCAACCGUGGAGGGUCAUUGGAAACUGGGAAACUUGAGUGCAGAAGAGGAAAGUGGAAUUCCAUGUGUAGCGGUGAAAUGCGCAGAGAUAUGGAGGAACACCAGUGGCGAAGGCGACUUUCUGGUCUGUAACUGACGCUGAUGUGCGAAAGCGUGGGGAUCAAACAGGAUUAGAUACCCUGGUAGUCCACGCCGUAAACGAUGAGUGCUAAGUGUUAGGGGGUUUCCGCCCCUUAGUGCUGCAGCUAACGCAUUAAACACUCCGCCUGGGGAGUACGACCGCAAGGUUGAAACUCAAA
rnacentral:rRNA from 1 species